GCCGGGCGCAGUGGUGUGUGCCUAUAGUCCCAGCUAUAAUAUUUGGGAGGCUGAUGUAGGAGGAUUGUUUGAGACCAGGAAUUCUGGGCUGUAACAUUCUAUGCUGAUUGGGUGUCCACAUUAAGUUUGGUAUCAAUAUGAUGAGUGAGGGACCACCAGAUUGCCUAAGGAGGGGUGAACUGGUCCGGGUCGAACAUGGAACAGGUCAAAAUUCCCAUGCUCAUUAGUAGUGGGAUCACACGUGUGAAUAUCCACUGCACUAUAUAAAUAAAAAUUGUCAGAUUUAU
rfam:Chlorocebus sabaeus isolate 1994-021 chromosome 3, whole genome shotgun sequence.